rnacentral:rRNA from 1 species
ACGUGAGCAACCUGCCCUGGACUCUGGGAUAAGCGCUGGAAACGGCGUCUAAUACUGGAUAUGAGACGUGAUCGCAUGGUCGUGUUUGGAAAGAUUUUUCGGUCUGGGAUGGGCUCGCGGCCUAUCAGCUUGUUGGUGAGGUAAUGGCUCACCAAGGCGUCGACGGGUAGCCGGCCUGAGAGGGUGACCGGCCACACUGGGACUGAGACACGGCCCAGACUCCUACGGGAGGCAGCAGUGGGGAAUAUUGCACAAUGGGCGGAAGCCUGAUGCAGCAACGCCGCGUGAGGGAUGACGGCC